rnacentral:lncRNA from 1 species
UGGGAUUUGGCCCCCAAAACAAAAGAAAGAGAAGGAAGAGAAAAAAAGAGAUAUAAUUGCUGUUUUUCCAGUCUCAUAAAGAGUAACCAAGGUGUCCAAUAUUUUCAAUAGUAAACUAACAAUUUUGGGAAAAUUUAUUUACUUUCAGAACUUUCCCUUUUUAAAUAAUUAGUUCAGAACGUAAGGUUCUUACAGAGCCAUUGUGAAUUUUAUACUCUCGAUUUCCAUAUUCUAAAGUGUAAUUGGUACAGACAUGCCAGUGGGAUCUGGAGGCUGAUUCAGAGGUCCUUGACUUGAUACACCCUCAUGCUGUGAUGUCACCAUCUACAUAGAAUGGUUUGAGGUGGUUUUGCUUCAUUUUUCAUUUUUGUUUUUGUUUUUAUCUUAUUUCUCUUGCUGGCCUGGACCUUGCAAUGUAGACCAGGCUGGCCGUGAACUCACAGAGAUCCACUUGCCACUGCCCCCCGCAGAACAGAGAUUUAAAGUGUAAACCAUCAUUCCAGGGCAGAAUGUUUUAAAGUAAGCAAAAAAAUCAUCUGUUUAGAUAAAGCAUAUAACUUUACCUGUAAAUAAAUUUGGAAGUUGAGUUUUAACUGUUAGUAUAAAACACAAAGAUCAUGCAGGUGAAGGAUCCACAUUUCCCAUUUUAGACAAUACAGAAUAUUUUAUAUUGUGGUUUGAACUUAGCAGGCUGACAAUAAGUUCUGACAUUUGUUCAGCACUUUGCUUAAUAAUACAAGAAUCUCAACAGGUCAAGCUCUAAAUCUGCUAUUGUCACCAGCUUCCUCUCCUCUCUGGGGAAAGUCUCACCAGACAUACCCUCACAAGAGCCAUCCUCAGGGACAAAUCAGGACCUGGUAGAGAAAGGUGGAGAAGACAUACCGAGAAAGACAUGAGGCAGCAAACAUAAAGAUAGAUUAAAAUUUUAAAAUAUCACUUAAAAAUUUAAGUGGCAAGGGCAGAUAUUAUUUUGACAUAACAAAUCAUUUGGGUUUUCUAUUGCUGGAGUGGGUCUUCCUCUGAGAAGGUGAUAGAGCAAUAUGUUAGCCUUCCUAACAUUGAAAGGGAUGUGCUCAUGUAAGGUCUACAAUGUUAAUCAGACUGUGAAAGGUGUGGGCCAAGCAGAUAAGAUUCUUCAUCAGUGUGCUGGACCUAAACAAACCAUGUCAAAAUGUUUAGUUAAUGUCUUUAAUGUCUUCUGUAUAGCCCUGGCUGUCCUGGAGCUCACUUUGUAGACCAAGCUGGCCUCGAACUCAGAAAUCUGCCUGCCUCUGCCUUCCAAGUGCUGGGAUUAAAUGUGUGUGCCACCAUGCCCAUCUAAGUUAAUGUCUUAAUAGAGGAGUGUAGACAGAGGGCAGAAGAGACACAGGAGAUGAGGAGAGGAUAAAGGAAAGAGGAAGAAACAGAGUGAAGGGAAGCGAACAGAAUUCAAAGACACCUUUUCUUUGACCUUUAAGGUCAGCACAUGAGUCUCUAUUUUACAGCUUUGAGUAAGCAUUG